rnacentral:lncRNA from 1 species
UUCUGGAACCUUUGGUGCUGCUGCUGGCGGUUUCGGUGGUGGUUCUUUUCGUUUCUCAGGUUCCUUAGGCUUUUCGGGUUGUUUAGGUUUCUCGGGUUCUUUGGGUUUUUCGGGUUCUUUCGGCUUUUCGGGUUGUUUAGGUUUCUCGGGUUCUUUGGGUUUUUCGGGUUCUUUUGGUUUUUCGGGUGCUUUAGGCUUUUCGGGUUCUUUUGGUUUUUCUGGUACUUUAGGCUUCUCUGGUUCUUUGGGUUUUUCAGGUUCUUUGGGCUUUUCGGGUUCUUUAGGCUUCUCAGGCUCCUUGGGUUUGGGAGGAGGAGGUGGAGGUUUGAUCUCAAUGCUCUUGAUUGAUCCAGCACCCUUGCAACAUAUCUUGUCCCUCAGCUUCUCAG